rnacentral:rRNA from 1 species
CUUCCGUAGGGGUAACCUGCGGAAGGAUCAUUACCGAGUGAGGGCCCUCUGGGUCCAACCUCCCACCCGUGUCUAUCGUACCUUGUUGCUUCGGCGGGCCCGCCGUUUCGACGGCCGCCGGGGAGGCCUUGCGCCCCCGGGCCCGCGCCCGCCGAAGACCCCAACAUGAACGCUGUUCUGAAAGUAUGCAGUCUGAGUUGAUUAUCGUAAUCAGUUAAAACUUUCAACAACGGAUCUCUUGGUUCCGGCAUCGAUGAAGAACGCAGCGAAAUGCGAUAAGUAAUGUGAAUUGCAGAAUUCAGUGAAUCAUCGAGUCUUUGAACGCACAUUGCGCCCCCUGGUAUUCCGGGGGGCAUGCCUGUCCGAGCGUCAUUGCUGCCCUCAAGCACGGCUUGUGUGUUGGGCCCCCGUCCCCCUCUCCCGGGGGACGGGCCCGAAAGGCAGCGGCGGCACCGCGUCCGGUCCUCGAGCGUAUGGGGCUUUGUCACCUGCUCUGUAGGCCCGGCCGGCGCCAGCCGACACCCAACUUUAUUUUUCUAAGGUUGACCUCGGAUCAGGUAGGGAUACCCGCUGAACUUAAGCAUAUCAAUAAGCGAAGGAA